UUGCAAUGAUCUCAAUCUCUCACUGAAUUCAACCUUGAAGUUGCGAAUCCAUGAGCUUUUUAACCCUGAGCAAU
rnacentral:snoRNA from 1 species